rnacentral:rRNA from 1 species
GACGGAGCAAUNCCGCGUGAGGGAGGAAGGCUUUUGGGUUGUAAACCUCUUUUUUCAAGGAAGAAGUCCUGACGGUACUUGAAGAAUCAGCAUCGGCUAACUCCGUGCCAGCAGCCGCGGUAAUACGGAGGAUGCAAGCGUUAUCCGGAAUCAUUGGGCGUAAAGCGUCCGCAGGUGGCUUAUCAAGUCUGCUGUUAAAGACAGAAGCUCAACUUCUGAACAGCGGUGGAAACUGGUAGGCUAGAGUACGGUAGGGGUUGAGGGAAUUCCCAGUGUAGCGGUGAAAUGCGUAGAUAUUGGGAAGAACACCAGUGGCGAAGGCGCUCAACUGGGCCGUAAC